GACGAACGCUGGCGGCGUGCCUAAUACAUGCAAGUCGAGCGGACUUGAAGGAGUGCUUGCACUCCUGAGAGUUAGCGGCGGACGGGUGAGUAACACGUAGGCAACCUGCCCUCAAGACUGGGAUAACUACCGGAAACGGUAGUUAAUACCGGAUAAUUUAUUACAUAGCAUUAUGUGAUAAUGAAAGACGGAGCAAUCUGUCACUUGGGGAUGGGCCUGCGGCGCAUUAGCUAGUUGGUGGGGUAACGGCCCACCAAGGCGACGAUGCGUAGCCGACCUGAGAGGGUGAACGGCCACACUGGGACUGAGACACGGCCCAGACUCCUACGGGAGGCAGCAGUAGGGAAUCUUCCGCAAUGGGCGAAAGCCUGACGGAGCAACGCCGCGUGAGUGAUGAAGGUUUUCGGAUCGUAAAGCUCUGUUGCCAAGGAAGAACGUCUCAUAGAGUAACUGCUAUGAGAGUGACGGUACUUGAGAAGAAAGCCCCGGCUAACUACGUG
rnacentral:rRNA from 1 species